rnacentral:lncRNA from 1 species
GUAUUGAAACCAAUGGGAGUUAGGCACCUAAAUACUUUUAUUUCGUGCCUGUCUCUGCAGGGGGUGAGAGGAGCCCCAGCUGGGGCGCUGCAGUCGGGAAUCCAGCGGUGCAGACUCCAGAGGCCUCGGCUACAUGUGAGCUCCUGGCCCGGCGCCUGGCUGCCCUGGAGGCAGAGUUAGCUGCAGCCCACCUGCAAAGCCAUGAGGACACCGAGCACUGGGAGAGACGCUGCAGGACCAUGGCAGCCGAGUGGGAGGAGGAGAGGCAGAGAUUAUUGCAGCAGCCACGGCAGCCACAGGAGACGGCGCGUCCAGCAGAGACGGCGCAGCACCUGGAGACAUCCCAUCGGGGGCAGCCAAUGAAGCGGGUGGCUGUGGUGCAGCCAGCGCAGCAAUGGGAGACAGCUCAGCAGGUGGAGACAGUGCUGCAGAACCUGCCAAUGCAGCAGGGGCUGGUGGUGCAACUGGUGCAGCCGUUGGAGAUGGUGCAGCAGGUGCAGCUGGUUGAGCGAGUGGAGCCAGCCCCACAGAUGUCUGCAGCUGGAUCGCAGUUGACUUUGGAGGCCAGAGGCUUCCCAGAGCCGACUCUGCCUCCCACUCCUGCUGGAGGAGCCGCUCCUUCCCCAGGGCCCACCAGGCAGAGGGGCGCCCCCAGAGCAGGUGCUUCCCCGGAUGCCCUGUCCCAGUCCCAGUGCGGGGCGAUCGCAGCGCCUGCAGCAGGACGCCGUGGAGUCGACAGCCACGUGGUGGCCUUCAUAGAGACCUUGCGGGCAGGACUUAUGGCUAAAGAGCUCCACGUGCUGGCUCGGCUCCUGGACGGCCCGUGUGGCAGGCUGACGACAGAACUCCCCGCGGCCCCUGAGGAAGCAGCAGGAGUUGAAAUCCACACGCUGCUUGGGAACGCUACCCUAGGUACGGGACUCGCCGGGCCUGAGACGCCCAGCCCGGCAUGGUAAGGCUGCCCCAGGGCUCUACAGCGCUGGGUGCAGUCUCCAGAGCAACUGACUGUGAAGCUGAGC